rnacentral:rRNA from 1 species
GUCCAGACUCCUACGGGAGGCAGCAGUGGGGAAUAUUGCACAAUGGGGGAAACCCUGAUGCAGCGACGCCGCGUGAGCGAUGAAGUAUUUCGGUAUGUAAAGCUCUAUCGGCAGGGAAGAAAAUGACGGUACCUGACUAAGAAGCCCCGGCUAACUACGUGCCAGCAGCCGCGGUAAUACGUAGGGGGCAAGCGUUAUCCGGAUUUACUGGGUGUAAAGGGAGCGUAGACGGCUGUGCAAGCCAGAUGUGAAAGCCCGGGGCUCAACCCCGGGACUGCAUUUGGAACUGUGUGGCUGGAGUGUCGGAGAGGCAGGCGGAAUUCCUAGUGUAGCGGUGAAAUGCGUAGAUAUUAGGAGGAACACCAGUGGCGAAGGCGGCCUGCUGGACGAUGACUGACGUUGGGGCUCGAAAGCGUGGGGAGCAAACAGGAUUAGAUACCCCGGUAA